rnacentral:rRNA from 1 species
AUUGAACGCUGGCGGCAGGCCUAACACAUGCAAGUCGAGCGAGCGGCGGACGGGUGAGUAAUGUCUGGGAAUCUGCCCGAUGGAGGGGGAUAACUACUGGAAACGGUAGCUAAUACCGCAUACUAUCAGAUGUGCCCAUAUGGGAUUAGCUAGUAGGUGGGGUAAUGGCUCACCUAGGCGACGAUCCCUAGCUGGUCUGCGAGGAUGACCAGCAACACUGGGACUGAGACACGGUCCAGACUCCGACGGGAGGCAGCAGUGGGGAAUAUUGCACAAUGGGCGCAAGCCUGACGCAGCCAUGCCGCGUGAAUGAAGAAGGCCUUAGGGUUGUAAAGUACUUUCAGUCGGGAGGCGUUACCGACAGAAGAAGCACCGGCUAACUCCGUGCCAGCAGCCGCGGUAAUAC